AUCGUUUUUUUCUAACAUAAUUUUAGGUUUGUUCAAUUGAUUCAAGAUAUUUAAAACCAUGUAAAUAUGUUUUCUCUAACUGUUCCGAUCUCAACAUCGGUAAUUUUCGUAUAUAUGACACAAUAUGAUUGGUCAGAUUUUAAAACUCUUCCGUACUGUUCUCUGAUUGGUCAACAAUAUUUCACCCACGCCAUUUUGAAAAUUCUUCCCGGGACGUGUUGAGAAAGCUGGAGGUGAUUUUGAAUAAACUCUCAUUUGCUCGCGAGUAAAAUGGAUCGAAAAACAGAAGUUCAGCAUAAUCAUGGUACACAGGAUCAUAUAUAUGAACCAAGGAAAGCAAAUACAUAAGGAGACUGACGUUUUUUAGGCAUCAUAUCCGGACUUUUCUGGUGUAAACAACGACAGUUGCGUCAGCAGAACAUUGAAGAAAAGCUGAUUAGUCAUGGAGGAAGAAGAUCCCUCUCAAGAAAGUAUUGCAGUGAUGAAGUCAGAUGAGAUGACAGGUUGUGUGAUUUGAAGAUGGACUUCUGCAACAAAGUAAACACUCCUCUACCUUUUCCAUACAAAAGAAACAGCAAAGCAGAGAGAUCGAAACAGUUGGUAAAAGUACAAAGAAAACAGGAUUAGUUAAACUUGUGAAAAAUAUCAAGACUAUUGAAGAGCAGAUUAUAUGUAAAAAGAAAGAUCAAGACUAGAAUUGGUAGCUGAAUCAGUAGCCUGGCCACAUUAAUUACUUUUUAAUUAGCUAUUUGUACAUUUAAGGUAAUCUGACUGAGUUACUAAAAUUGUUAUUUAACAAAUAUUUCAAAUAAAUAAAAGAUUUUUGAAUAACAAUCAAUAGAUGCUAUUAAGAACCUCAAUCUCCAACCCCUUUUCUUCAAAUAACAAUUUUUGCCCAUGAUCAUUUUUGUAGUUUUUAAAACUCUGUUUUGUAUUAUUUUAAGCAU